rnacentral:rRNA from 1 species
UGGGGAAUAUUGGACAAUGGGCGCAAGCCUGAUCCAGCCAUGCCGCGUGAGUGAUGAAGGCCUUAGGGUUGUAAAGCUCUUUCGCCGACGAAGAUAAUGACGGUAGUCGGAGAAGAAGCCCCGGCUAACUUCGUGCCAGCAGCCGCGGUAAUACGAAGGGGGCUAGCGUCGUUCGGAAUCACUGGGCGUAAAGCGCACGUAGGCGGAUUGUUAAGUCAGGGGUGAAAGCCUGGAGCUCAACUCCAGAACUGCCCUUGAUACUGGCAAUCUCGAGUCCGGAAGAGGUAAGUGGAACUGCGAGUGUAGAGGUGAAAUUCGUAGAUAUUCGCAAGAACACCAGUGGCGAAGGCGGCUUACUGGUCCGGUACUGACGCUGAGGUGCGAAAGCGUGGGGAGCAAAACAGGAUUAGAUACCCUGGUAGUCCACGCCGU